rnacentral:miRNA from 1 species
CAAGGCCAAAGGAAGAGAACAG